AGUGACGGCAGCUUUGCAAAAGGGUCACGGCACUGAAUUAUCACUGAAUUAUCACAGCAUUAUCUUCGCGCCUGCUUUCUUUGUGUUGGGUAAACAAUGUUCCAGUGUGAGGACAGCCUGUGACCUUGAGCGUGUCAGCAAGAUCUCUGCUCGCUGCUGCCUACGUGAGUCUGCACGGUGCUUUGGAGGACGGGUGGGGGUGGGUGGGUGGAGGGGCAAGGACUGGUGCCCCAACACCCCGCGAUAACAUCUCAACAUUGUUGAGAACGCGCCCCAGGCCCGGAAAACCCCCGGUGAUGUUUGCUCACGCGGACCCGAAACUCUGCCCAGUAUUCCAAACAGCGUUCGCUGGACCCCCCUUGAACUAUGACCUCCGACUGGGCACCAAGUUCAGAAUGAGGAUGCCUUUGCUGCUUCAGAGCCAUGCUCGGCAGGAGAGGGGCCCCACUCACUAACCCCUACCCUGAGAGUCGGGACCUCGCCCCCGGUACCCGCAUCCUGUGUGCAGCACAAUUGGUUUGCAUGCCAGUGGCACUUGGCAGAACCUUCUGGAACUUGGUUCUAAAACCCGGUGCUUCUGUCUUGGGUGCCUCUUGCCUCCUGCCUCUUUCUCUCUCUUGGAGCCCAGCAGCCACGUGAAGAGGCCCCACAUGGAGGAGCGAGACCCUGGAGGACAAGAGGUCACCCGGAGCAGAACUGAAGCCCCAACUAGGGCUUCCGACCAUGGAGCCUGGCAGGGACCGCAGGAGGGAGCCCCGAACCAGAACUGCCCAGCCUCGGCUUUCCACCUCCUCCCAGCCACCCCACUGUCCACCCUGCGGACACGCCCACGGUGUGCUUUCCUGUCCCAGCUUCCUGCGUGGGGCUCACAGCUGGCCCUCUCUAGAAAGUUCUCUACCUCACUGGCACCUCCUCUCCUUCCCCGGCUGGCUUUUCCUCCUUCCUUCCCAGGCUCGUCUCUGUAUUUGCAUUCAGAUAAUUUAGACACCAUCAGGUGAAGGGGACCAAGGCGGGAUGCUUAUUUUGUGGGAACAUUUCAGAGGGAGUUCACCUAAAGGCCGAGGAGUUGGACUACGGCAAUUUCAUUUGGCUCCCGACCAGGAGGUGACAGGAGGCCAGCUCCUGUCUUUACAGCCCGGCGUGACCAGCCACGGGGACUCAGUUCUGCACGAAUCCCUGAGCCUACCACGAGGCAGGUGCCCGUUCAGGGAGGUCGCCCCCAGCAUCCGCCGAGGUAGUCACCGUCUGGCCUGAUGUCAGCUGCUCCCCAGAAUCGCACGCGGUUCCCAUGCGCCCCUCGUGGCUCCUGCCUUCCUCCUCUCUGGUUCAAGAUCGUUUCCCCCUUUCUCAAACUAGCGCCUCAAGCCACGGACUGAACGUAUCAGUAUGAGUCAGGUCUUCCCGUGAUCAGAGGCCGUCCUGCUCGAGAAGCUGAACUUGCGGACUUGACCACCUAUUUGGCUGCCAGGGUCCCUGCUGCAUUCCCGGGGAUCUCGCUGCUUCUGGAGGCAGCCCUUUCCUACCCCCAUCCCCUUUCCAGGCCAGCCCACCUGCUCCCUGCCUCCCCGCCUCCCUCCACUCCUCCCCCGCCCGACUCUGUGUCAAUGACAGCUUUGCUCUCUCUCUUUUGCUUUCUCUCUUGCCCUCUCUCCCUCUGCUUUUUUUGUCUGUCCGUCUGUCUCUUUUCCUUCCUCUGUCUCUCUGUUUCUCUCUCUCUCUCCCUCCCUCCUCCUCCUCCUCCGUCUCAGUUAACGAGAGUGAUGGGUCUGGCAGACGGAGGCUGAUGCUCCCCACGUCGGCCCUCGGGCGCAGAGCAGGGGGGCCGCCCCGUCUCUCCCGGGCCCACCAGGCAGCACACUCCUCCACCCUGUGGACAAGUGCUAAACACGUCUGGUUGUUUCGGAGUCUGUACGGCAUUCUAUUAUGACACACUGGGAACCUGGUUACUUAUAAAGCAAUUUGCUCCUACAGGCUGGUUUGAGAUUAAAAUGGUAAUUAUCUUGCAAA